AACGAACGCUGGCGGCAUGCCUAACACAUGCAAGUCGAACGUGAUCCGUGCCUUCGGGUGCGGUGAAAGUGGCGCACGGGUGAGUAACGCGUGGGAACCUGCCCAAUGGUAGGGAAUAACCGCGGGAAACUGCGGCUAAUACCCUAUGAGCCCUACGGGGGAAAGAUUUAUCGCCGUUGGAGGGGCCCGCGUCGGAUUAGGUAGUUGGUGGGGUAAUGGCUCACCAAGCCUUCGAUCCGUAGCUGGUCUGAGAGGAUGAUCAGCCACACUGGGACUGAGACACGGCCCAGACUCCUACGGGUGGCAUCAGUGGGGAAUAUUGGACAAUGGGGGCAACCCUGAUCCAGCAAGGCCGCGUGAGUGAAGAAGGCCUUAGGGUUGUAAAGCUCUUUCGGCGGGGACGAUGAUGACGGUACCCGCAGAAGAAGCCCCGGCUAACUCCGUGCCAGCCGCCGCCGUAA
rnacentral:rRNA from 1 species